rnacentral:rRNA from 1 species
GACGAACGCUGGCGGCGUGCCUAAUACAUGCAAGUCGAACGCAGUUGGGACGGUUGAGUAACACGUGGGUAACCUCCCAUCAGAGGGGAUAACACUUGGAAACAGUUGCUAAACCGAUACUGAUUGAUGUACCCGCGGGUCAUUAGCUAGUGGGUGAGGUACCGGCUCACCAAGGCCACGAUGCAUAGCCGACCUGAGAGGGGGAUCGGCCACAAUGGGACUGAGAAACGGCCCAGACUCCGACGGGAGGCAGCAGUAGGGAAGCUGCGGAAAUGGACGAAAGUCUGACCGAGCAACGCCGCGUGAGUGAAGAAGGUUUUCGGAUCGUAAAACUCUGUUGUUAGAGAAGCGGUAUCUAACCAGAACGCCACGGCUAACUACGUGCCAGCAGCCGCGGUAAUUC